UUUUCGUAGGUGAACCUGCGGAAGGAUCAUUAUUGGAUUUUGAAACUUCAGGCUGCUGCUGGCUCUCCUCGGAGGGCAUGUGCACGCUUGUUGUCCAUUAUUUCUCCCACUGUGCACAAAUUGUAGACCUUUCAGUAGGCCUAUGUUGUUUUUCACAAUCUCUGAAUGUAAUAGAAUGGUUUUGAAUCUUGGGAAAUACAAUACAACUUUCAGCAACGGAUCUCUUGGCUCUC
rnacentral:misc_RNA from 1 species